AUGAACUCUAAAUGGGAGGAUCUAUUCCCUUUGGUAUCUGUUCGUAAGUUGGUGAGAGAUACCUCGGAUCACAGUCCACUACUUUUGGUCACAGAACCUAUGAAAACUAGCCCUUCCCAUAAUCGGGAGUUUAGAUUUGAGCUAAGCUGGCUUAAGAAGGAAGAGUUUUAUGCCAAGGCUAAGAGUAUUUGGGAGCAACCUGUGAAUUCCGAGGAUCCCAUUGAUAUCUUGAAUAUCAAACUCAAACGGAUCAAGAAAUACUUCAAAGGAUGGGGGGCUCACUCUUUUGGGCAUGCCAGAAAAAGGAAAAAAAAUGCAUCAAAGAAGAAUUAG
rnacentral:rRNA from 1 species